CCCUUAGAUGUUCUGGGCCGCACGCGCGCUACACUGUUCGACGCAGCGAGUCUUAACCUUGACCGAAAGGUUUGGGUAAUCUUCAGCAAAGUCGAACGUGAUGGGGAUCGAUCAUUGCAAUUAUUGAUCGUGAACGAGGAAUUCCUAGUAAGUGCAAGUCACCAGCUUGCGCUGAUUACGUCCCUGCCCUUUGUACACACCGCCCGUCGCUACUACCGAUUGAAUGGUUUAGUGAGAUCUCUGGAUUGACGCUGGCUAGGGGGCGACCCUUGGCCAGACUGCUCGAGAAACUGCUCAAACUUGAUCAUUUAGAGGAAGUAAAAGUCGUAACA
rnacentral:rRNA from 1 species